ensembl:lncRNA
ACACGGCGGCCGCGCGCGGAGCAUGGCGGGUUUUUGUUGUUUGCUUGGCCUCGGAAAGCAAUUCGGUACGAUUGCUAGAUGUUUAAAGGAGCCAGAAGGAUGUGGUGCCCGUUAGCCUGGGACCUUCCAGCACUAGUAGCUGUACUGAAAAAAACUUUGGCUUUCUUCCUCUGCCACACUACAAAGUGAAACUGCUGCUGCUGGUUUUACCGUCAGACAGAUGCUGAGUGUUAGAGGAAGAAGAAAUGAUCAGAAUUGGCAAUGAAUGUUUGUGGGAGUGAGGCUGAUUAGCUUGUGUUCCUUUGAGACAUCUGGGGUCAGCCAUCUAGGUAUGGUUUCCCAGACCCCUCACAUAUAGAAGGAUGCACUUGGCAAGGAGAAAAUGUGCAGUGAUUGGAAAGGCAGCAGUGGUGACAAAAGGCCACUCUCAGCUCCGCAGCAUCUGCUGGCAGUUUGGUGCUGACUGCUACCUUUGUUUCUGAGCUGUGAGCCACAGACAGUGGGUGGAAGCUGUGGAAGCAGGAGGCCCAUGCUUCUGCUGGCUACCCUGAGCACAAACGACUUUCUUGUUGCACUGAGCAAGCAGCAGUGCUGUAGUGUUCCAGCUCCUGCUGACACAGUUGCUAAUUCUUACUUGUCUACUGAGACGGAGCAGUGCUCUUGGGAAAUGUUUUCUCUGGUUUUGUGCUCUAGGUUUGCAGACAAGUGGUAGGCAUUGUGAGGCUAGCAUCAAAUAUCACCCCUUUGUUUUAGUUUGCAGAUAGACAACAUGGUUGGUGGAUUUAAGUUAGUGAAGUUCGUGACUGUAAUCAUAUACAGGAGUCUUGCCUUUAGAAGCUGAAAAUCAGGGUUCAAAGCACAACAGCACGUAGCAUCUGACAUCUUCACUAUCUUGUUUGAUUGGUACCUGUGGGAACUGCCCAACGUUUGCAUCUUGUACAUGGAGAAUGCAGAAAUUAACUUCAUUCUGUUUUGUUUGGCAGUCUCAGCAAACCAUCUGCAAGUCACCUCCCUAGUUUUUCUGGCCCAUCCACAGCAGAGCCUGGGAAGAAUGUCUGCCUGUGGUUCUCAGAAGCAUCUAGUCAGUUCUCAGAGCUAAGUUCCUGGUGAAGAUGUGGCAGGUAUCUUCCAAAGGAAUUUACCUUGUACAGCGUACUGCAGCUAGGAUGCAGGCUUUUUAGAUUAUACAGUAACUCCCAGCACAGGAGAGUGUGAAUCUCCAUCAGCACAGGUUGCCACAAACCAAAGGACUAAAUCCACAGAGGGGAGCUGUGCUGGGGAGCUAGCUUCAGGUCCUUACACCUGCACCUGGUUUGCAGCGAAUACAACCAUCCAUAUUUACACCUGAGGUUGGAAAUAGAUCCCUUCAAUGCUAAAACCAUAGGUGGCUUGGGUAAACUUGAGGAACUAUUCCUGUGAAUGGGAAUAGUGUAAAGGAUAAAAUGGCCAGGAUCAAUUUAAAAGCUGUUUUGUCGGGUUUUCCUUAUUUUUUUUCUUUUUUUUCCCUUCUUUCUUCCCAAAGAGUGGGCACAAUUUUUUGCAACCAUACGCACUGAAGCAGCAGCUCAAGUAUGAGACAAAGACUGUUUAAAAAUGGUUUGGUUGUGCUGUCUACGUGGUGAUAUUUUUUUAAAGAACAUUUACAAAAGAUUUAUGUAAAAUCUAUCUUUUGUCUACUUAAAAUAUGUCAAAUGGAUGUACAGGGCAAAAUUUAAUGCAUAUGGGUUUUCAUUAUUUUAAAUCAUUUGCAAUAUAAAUGAUUUACUG